AGGCACCUUCACUUAACCCGAGCCCCCAUUCAUCAGCAAACACAUCGGAUCGAUGCUACUCUAACCUAUCGGGUUCUUGUACCAAAUCUCCAGCGGGUAUCAUUUUUGUCCUGACAAGAGAAGGCUCCACCUGCCGACUGCCCACCAACGCAUCCAGCUGUCUGCUUUGCAGAACAGCAAGCUUGUUUUCAGAGUUUGAAAAACGGAGAUACAAAGGAAGCUGUGGCAGCUGAAUUCUCUUUCAUGUGUGUCCAGACCAGGUGAAGCCCAGCAUAAUGUACUGUAAUAUGUCUCUUCAGUUCUCUGAUACAAUGACCUGUGCAUCCUCUAAAUCCCCCACAGAAUGUGCAGACACAGACUGAUUGAGGUGAGUAUGGACUUAAGUAUAUAUUGUUCUUUGUAGCUCUGAGGAAUUGGCACUUUUGCCAAAUGUGAGAUGAUGUGGAUUGUAAUCUAUUGAGGUAUGAGUUCAGACUGGGCCCUGCUGUACAUUGUAAGAAUAACUAAAGAUUUGUCUGGAGUAA